GGGGGCGGUCUACCAGAGUUGGGAGCCAUGCUGCUGGUGCAGAUCUGCAGCCAGCACCUUCCCUAAAGUUGUGGCGAUGGCCGGAUCGUUUUGCUGUCACUGGAGACUGAAGCACCCUGCACUGCUCGUGAUCAGUAACAGGAGGUCCUCAAGAUGCAUCAGCCACAUCUGUUCCCUUCCUUGUCUGCUUGGCCCCCCCAUGCGCUUGUAGCCAGCAGCGUCCCUCGGGGCUGCACCUGGGCUGUAAAUGCCUCCUGUUCCCCCCGGAGGGCACCGACCUUGGAGCAGGCUCAACCUCCGCUCAGCUCCUGCGCCACUGCAGGAAGCUGACGAUGAUGAAGGAGAGUGCAGGCGCAGGGAGCGCGGUGGUGCAGUCCAUCCGGACCACACAUCUAGGGGUGCUCCAGUCACGGUCAGGAUAGAAGACAAGGAGGUCCUACUGGCGAUGCUGUAUUUCCACAAUCUUCUCAGUGUUUGAGAUCAAAAAAGGAAGUGUUCAGAGACGAGUGCAAUAAAGACCGGGCUGCUGGGGUAGAAUGUCA
rnacentral:lncRNA from 1 species